GACGUAGGGUGCGAGCGUUGUCCGGAUUCAUUGGGCGUAAAGAGCUCGUAGGCGGCUCGUCGCGUCGACCGUGAAAACCCGCGGCUUAACUGCGGGCUUGCGGUUGAUACGGGCGGGCUAGAGUUCGGUAGGGGAGACUGGAAUUCCUGGUGUAGCGGUGAAAUGCGCAGAUAUCAGGAGGAACACCGGUGGCGAAGGCGGGUCUCUGGGCCGAUACUGACGCUGAGGAGCGAAAGCGUGGGGAGCGAACAGG
rnacentral:rRNA from 1 species